AUUUUUAUAGUGUAUAUUUAACACAUAACAUUUUCAUUGUUAAGAUGCUCUGCUAAAAAUA
rnacentral:tRNA from 1 species